UGAUAUAAUUAAGUAAUGAAACUUACGCAGCGUAAGAAGUCAGCUGAAUCAUAGUACCCUGAGUUUAUCGAAGGGGAAGGAU
rfam:Parcubacteria (Falkowbacteria) bacterium GW2011_GWA2_39_24 TT42_C0028, whole genome shotgun sequence.